rnacentral:tRNA from 2 species
GGCUAGCUCAGUGGGUAGAGCACAAGAUUAGGGAUCUUGCUGUCGUGGGUUCGACUCCCAUGCCA